UGGUAGGAGAAAAAGACGCAGGUGUGUCUUCCAAAAGAACUUAGUUUGUUUAGCACCUGGCUGAUUGCGGCACAAGGACUCGAGUUCAAAAUGGGCUGGGCUUUCAGAGGAACAGUGCCGUCCAAUGGCAGCGCCGGGAUCGCUGUGUGGCUCGUCUGAUUUACGCAAACGUGGUUCAUAGUGGCUCAAGUGUAAACUACAGUACAUCGCAGGAAGGAAGAGGACCUGGUGGUGGGGGUUGGGAGCAGGAUCCCAGACCAUAAAACCUGGCAGCCUCCCUCCUGCAUUGUUCACCACCACUAUUCCAGCCCAGUUUCACUGUUUUCUCCCUGUGCUGUGUGUAUCCUGUCCUUUAAGAGGCAGUAAAUGUUGUUGUUGUUGUUCAUCAGACAAACAUGAAUCCUGACCAGCCUUCUCGUCUUCCUUUGUUCUUACCAUGAAGACUCUUGAAGGCAGGAAGAAGGUUGUGCUAAAGAAGCAAAUUAAUAACCUGGUUAUAAAGUUUGACACAGGCCUCAUAUGGGUCCAAUCAGACACACAUUAGGUUGCAUGCAGCAUGCAUUACACUGAAUAGAAAGCACAACAAAUAUAUAAAAUUCCAGCCUUUCAGCUGGAUGCUAACAUAUCCAAAU